UAAACAGUAAGGUGACAUUUCCCUCUAAU
rnacentral:piRNA from 1 species